UUUGAUUUAUUGGUUCAUGGUGAUCCAAACAAGUACCUCAACAAGAAGGAAAUGGUCAUAGGUGCUCAAGCCAAACAACAUAUAUAAUUGCAGCUAUAUACGUCAUGAAGGCUUGGAGAACAUCCAAGAAUGACAAAUGAAGAGGGUACAAGGUUCUAUAUGUGAUUUCAAUAUAAGUAUUGUUGUAGAUUACAUACACUAUGUGAUUUCAAUAUGACAGUACUAUUGUUAUGUGAUUUCAAUAUUAUAAUUACAUACACUAGUGAUCAUAUUAUACAAUUUAGGGGAGAAU